rnacentral:rRNA from 1 species
AGCAGCCGCGGUAAUUCCAGCUCCAAUAGCGUAUAUUAAAGUUGUUGCAGUUAAAAAGCUCGUAGUUGAAUUUCGGGGUCAGUAGGUUGGUCGUGCCACGGGUAUGUACUGGUCUUACUGAUUCCUCCUUCCUGAUGAACCGUAAUGCCAUUAAUUUGGUGUUGCGGGGAAACUGGACUGUUACUUUGAAAAAAUUAGAGUGUUUAAAGCAGGCUAACGCUUGAAUACAUUAGCAUGGAAUAAUGAAAUAGGACGUUGAUCUUAUUUGUUGGUUUCUAGGAUUGACGUAAUGAUUAAUAGGGAUAGUUGGGGGCAUUAGUAUUCAAUUGUCAGAGGUGAAAUUCUUGGAUUUAUUGAAGACUAACUACUGCGAAAGCAUUUGCCAAGGAUGUUUUCAUUAAUCAAGAACGAAAGUUAGGGGAUCGAAGACGAUCAGAUACCGUCGUAGUCUUAACCAUAAACCUAUGCCGACUAGGGAUCGGAUGAUGUUAAUUUUUAAUGACUCAUUCGGCGCCUUACG